UACGAUUAUUACGAACAAAAUUCAUGUUUUCUCGUACUAGAGUUUUGAUUUUUGCCAUUUACGAAAGAUGAAAUUCAUAUAACUAAGCAUCUUCCGAGCGGGCUAUUCACAGUAGAGAAUGGCGAAGCUACGAAGAACCAAAGAAUCCAACUGUCCA